GUAGUUGUGAUGAGCCUAUAACAUGUAAGAAGGAUCCCAAGUUGGGUUUCUUCAAUGAAAUAUUAUUGUUACGCUUGGCUUCUGAGCUAU